rnacentral:lncRNA from 1 species
GCUCAGUCAGUGGAGCGUGUGACUCUUCAUCUUGGGACUGUGGGUUUGAGCCCCACGUUGGGUAUAGAGAUCAUUUAAAGAGACAAAGCUGCAGCUGGCUGGCAGUCCAUCGCCUUUCCUGCCCGCAGUCCCAGGGGAUCCAGGCUGGGGUAAGGGACAGCUCUUCACGUGAUCCUCUGUGCUCCCAAAGACGCAUCGAGUUUAUCAGGAUGUCUAGAGGUGAAAGUUUGGGUUCUCCUGACCCCUCUGCAUCUCUCAGUUAAACGUUCAGGUUGGUUUUGAGCUUCCCAGGGCUCCAGAGAUUUGGAAUGUGGUGCAGAGGUACAGAGGUAAUGCUUAAGACAGAUGCUUCUAAAACAUAAUAAUGUGACUCUUCUGCUUAAAAGCCUUUAAAGCCCUUCAUUGCCAAUGUUUCAUGACUUAUUUUUAUUUUUAAAAGGUUUUAUGUGUUCAUUUUAAGGAGAGAGGGAGCGGGAGUGGGGAGAGGCAGAGGGAGAGAGGGAAAGAACCCGAAGGAGACUGCACACAGAGCCUGACGCAGGGCUCAAUCCCACCACCCUGAGAUCAUGAUCCGAGCUGAAGCCAAGAGUCAGACGCUCAACCGACUAAGCCACCUGGGCGCCCCAACACGGGUGCUUUGCAAUGUGGGUUUUGUGAUGAUUUGGGUGUGAUGAGGCCAACAAAUCAG